rnacentral:lncRNA from 10 species
CCCGCGUUCACGUCGUUCUCCACCUCAGCCUCCCGAGUAGCUGGGACUACAUGCGCCCGCCAUCACACCAGGCUAAUUUUUUGUAUUUUUAGUAGAGACGGGGUUUCACCGUGUUAGCCAGGAUGGUCUCGAUCUCCUGACCUCGUGAUCCACCCGCCUCAGCCUCCCAAAGUGCUGGGAUUACAGGCGUGAGCUACUGCGCCCGGCCUAAAAUAUAUAUUAUGUGUAUAUACAUAGAUUUUUAAUUUAAUAAUAUUCCAUUGCUUAGAUGUACCACAGUUCAUUCAUCAGUUGAAAGGCCUUUGAGAUGCUCCCUCUUUGGGCAAUUAUGAAUAAUGUCACAAUCAACAUUUGCAUGCAGAUUUUGUGUGAACAUAAGAGUAAUUUCUCUUGGACUGGCAUGCCUGCUUUGUAUGGGGAUUUUUCUCCAGCCCUCACCCUGAGAAGCUGAUGAAUUAUACGGAGGUAAAACCUACAAGAGUAUAGGGAUUCCCUUAGGACUGCCACUACCCAGGUGUUUUCAACUUUCAUGCUGAUACACCUUCAGCUUUAAGCAAUUUAUCAAUUACCAUUUAAGGGCUUCUUUAAUCAGUGACUUCAGCAGCUUCUGCAUCUGGACAACUUUGUGUAGAAUUGAUAGUAUUAUUCCUUAAAUAUUUUGCAAAUUCAAGAAUGAAGUUAUCCAGAUUUUGAGUUACAAGACUUGUGAAAAGCAUGAAAUUUUACCCUACUUGCAGGAUUGGUGAAGUGCUAAUAUUUAUUCCACUCCUGUCUUCUGAGCUCUAACCAAAUUGAGAACAACUACAAAAAAUGAGGACAGGAAUCUGUGCAACACUGGUCCAAUCCUCCUCAAGCU